rnacentral:rRNA from 1 species
GACGAACGCUGGCGGCGUGCUUAACACAUGCAAGUCGAACGGAAAGGCCCUUCGGGGUACUCGAGUGGCGAACGGGUGAGUAACACGUGGGUGAUCUGCCCUGCACUUUGGGAUAAGCCUGGGAAACUGGGUCUAAUACCGAAUAUGAUCAUCGGCUUCAUGGCUGGUGGUGGAAAGCUUUUGUGGUGUGGGAUGGGCCCGCGGCCUAUCAGCUUGUUGGUGGGGUAAUGGCCUACCAAGGCGACGACGGGUAGCCGGCCUGAGAGGGUGUCCGGCCACACUGGGACUGAGAUACGGCCCAGACUCCUACGGGAGGCAGCAGUGGGGAAUAUUGCACAAUGGGCGCAAGCCUGAUGCAGCGACGCCGCGUGAGGGAUGACGGCCUUCGGGUUGUAAACCUCUUUCGCCAGGGACGAAGCGCAAGUGACGGUACCUGGAGAAGAAGCACCGGCCAACUACGUGCCAGCAGCCGCCGUAA